AGGACUCAAUUUUUUUUAUAUAUAUAUAUAUAUUGGACUUAGAGAAUAGUGCAAAAAAUAAAUCCUCUUUUGGAACCUAGAACUCAUUGUUCAGUAUGAGUUUUGAUACAUACAAGCAAGAAUGUU
rnacentral:snoRNA from 1 species